GUCCACAGCCUUGCCACCCUGAACUGCCUGAUCUCAUCUGAUCUCGGAAGCUAAGCAUGAUCGGGCCUGUUUAGUACUCUGAUGGGAGAAUAACUAGACAGAAGAUCAACAAGGAGCCAAGGAGCUGGCGUCGCGGCUC
rnacentral:rRNA from 1 species